rnacentral:rRNA from 1 species
GGCGAACGGGUGAGUAAUGCAUCGGAACGUGCCCAGUAGUGGGGGAUAGCUCGGCGAAAGCCGGAUUAAUACCGCAUACGCACUACGGUGGAAAGCGGGGGACCGAAAGGCCUCGCGCUAUUGGAGCGGCCGAUGUCGGAUUAGCUUGUUGGUGGGGUAAAAGCCUACCAAGGCGACGAUCCGUAGCUGGUCUGAGAGGACGACCAGCCACACUGGGACUGAGACACGGCCCAGACUCCUACGGGAGGCAGCAGUGGGGAAUUUUGGACAAUGGGCGAAAGCCUGAUCCAGCAAUGCCGCGUGUGUGAAGAAGGCCUUCGGGUUGUAAAGCACUUUUGGCGGGAACGAAACAGCGCUUGCUAAUACCGAGCGCGAAUGACGGUACCCGCAGAAUAAGCACCGGCUAACUACGUGCCAGCAGCCGCGGUAAGACGUAGGGUGCAAGCGUUAAUCGGAAUUACUGGGCGUAAAGCGUGCGCAGGCGGUUUUGUAAGACAGAUGUGAAAUCCCCGGGCUCAACCUGGGAACUGCAUUUGUGACUGCAAGGCUAGAGUGCGUCAGAGGGAGGUGGAAUUCC